rnacentral:rRNA from 1 species
UGGGGAAUAUUGCACAAUGGGCGCAAGCCUGAUGCAGCCAUGCCGCGUGUAUGAAGAAGGCCUUCGGGUUGUAAAGUACUUUCAGUCGGGAGGAAGGUGUCAAGGUUAAUAACCUUGGCAAUUGACGUUACCGACAGAAGAAGCACCGGCUAACUCCGUGCCAGCAGCCGCGGUAAUACGGAGGGUGCAAGCGUUAAUCGGAAUUACUGGGCGUAAAGCGCACGCAGGCGGUUGAUUGAGUCAGAUGUGAAAUCCCCGGGCUUAACCCGGGAAUUGCAUCUGAUACUGGUCAGCAAGAGUCUUGUAGAGGGGGGUAGAAUUCCAUGUGUAGCGGUGAAAUGCGUAGAGAUGUGGAGGAAUACCGGUGGCGAAGGCGGCCCCCUGGACAAAGACUGACGCUCAGGUGCGAAAGCGUGGGGAGCAAACAGG